AUUGCAACAAAGUAAUAAAAUAUGAGAAGGUUCUAUGAAAGUUUCCAAAAAAAACUAUUUUACGGAACUUCCGACUUUAAGAUUC
ensembl:ncRNA B0240.5 ncRNA